GGGUCUGUAGCUCAGCUGGUUAGAGCACUGUGUUGAUAACGCAGGGGUCGUUGGUUCGAGUCCAACUAGACCCACCA
rnacentral:tRNA from 3 species